ACCCUAUAGAUUCUACUUUUCAAUAUGGAUUGAACCAAUGCUACUUGGAAGUGUUGGGGGUUUGGGAGACGUCUGAUGGAAGAUUUUGAUAAUUUUUUGUUGGUCGCUUCUUGUUCUAUCAAAAUCCUAAGCUUCCGAAGGUGCAAAUCUGGCCUGUUCAUCUCUUUCUCCUUCAAUCUUGUUUGUCCGGAUGUCUUUCGGCUCAUAUAACCAUUUUCACAUGCACACACGCAUAUAGAUCGGUUUCUAGGGUUCAAGACAGUCAACCAUUUUUUUUAUUUUGGUGAUAGCGUGUGUUUUACCAUCGAGAGAUCACUUUGUUUUGCAUGAUAGAUUUAAGUUCAAUUUCUUUCAAAUUAUCUACAUAUUAGGGUUUGUUAACAUAGUCAUGUGUGAGUCACUGAAUACAAAGUGACAUGAAUGGAAUGUAUGAAUUUAUUGGGAAUAUCUAAUAUUCAUUGUGAGUAUGUUCGAUUUACUGCUUUGGCUUUGCUUUCCAUGGAUUUAGUAUUUGAAGUUUGUGUCCAUAAGUUACUUGUGGCUUUUAUGCUUUUGUGUUUUUGUUUUCUUGGAUCUCGAGGAAGAUAUGUUAUGCCGUCGAAAGCAUCAGGCAUUAAGCUUCGUCAAUGAUUAAAUGUCGGCUGAUUAAUAUAGCCUUUUUCUUAAGAUUAUAUUUAUUUAUGAGCAAUCUCAAGUCUUUGUUUUUUAUUUUUAUAUACAGUUUUUUUAUAAGAUUUACGUUAUCCUUUUGUUAUUAUUGGCCUGAUGACUCAUAUUAUUCUAUUAUCAAAUGGUUCUGGAGCCAUCCAUAUGUUCAUAUUCAUUUGAUGUUUCUACAUGGUAAUAGAAAGAGAUAGAGUUCAGGGGUGUGUAAAGAGUUUAUGUUGGGUCUACUACUACCACAUGUUUAAAAUUUUGUUGGGAUUUAUUUGCAUUUCCUCUUCAUCACCCUUUGUCGUUUCAUUCUUAGUUUUAGAAAUAUGCUUAUUUUUUAUUCCUUGUAGAGUUCUUAUCAAGAUCGCAAAAGGAGGCCCACUUAACUUCUGAUGUCUGUGAAGGGCUCAAAAUUGAUCAAGGAAAUGCUGGUAAAAGCAUUGGAUAAGUUUCCAGAGAUAGGAAAGGCAUUCCUCCUUGCUUUGGACUGUCCAAUUUAUUUGUUUCAUAUUUUGAGAAGUUAUUUUCAUUGUUGAUUAUGCACAUGGGUGGUGUUGAUUGCUUAUAGUGGUGGGGUUUGUUGACUAAUGUUUAGUGAACUUGCAAAAAACAACUUUUAAUGUGGCCUUGUUAGUGUUUUAUGGUAGGAUUGAAUAGUGGUUUAAAACAAGGACUUGGGUUGGGACUCACCAGGGAGUUGAGCCCGAUUCAGGAAACUUGGGCUUGGCUGAGCUGAUUUUAUUACUUGAUGCCAGACAGACAAUGCCAAAUUGUUUGUGCAAUGCUUGAUUGUUUCUAGUGUUACUUGGACUCUUAUUGUUCUUUUUCCUUUUUUCCUUGUUUUCUUUAUUGUUUGUUAUUUUUAAUACCUUAGACUAUCAAAUUUAGAUUAGACUUGGGAAUUGGAUUAUGCUAGCUGCAAACAUACGGUGAAUUGCAUUUGUUUUAUACAAGGUUUAAAAAAAUGGAUCAGCAACCCGAAUCGUCCACUCCAAAAAUCGUGUCGAAUUGGUGUGUCGGAUCGGAGAAUUGGCCAAAUCGGCGAGUUUCAUCCCAAUUUAUUUUCAAAUAAUGCUAUAAAUCUCUAAAAAUAGUGUUCU
rnacentral:lncRNA from 1 species